AGAGUUUGAUCCUGGCUCAGGACGAACGCUGGCGGCGUGCCUAACACAUGCAAGUCGAACGAGAAUCUUUGAACAGAUCUUUUCGGAGUGACGUUCAAAGAGGAAAGUGGCGGACGGGCGAGUAACGCGUGAGUAACCUGCCCAUAAGAGGGGGAUAAUCCAUGGAAACGUGGACUAAUACCGCAUAUUGUAAUUAAGUUGCAUGACUUGAUUAUGAAAGAUUUAUCGCUUAUGGAUGGACUCGCGUCAGAUUAGAUAGUUGGUGAGGUAACGGCUCACCAAGUCAACGAUCUGUAGCCGAACUGAGAGGUUGAUCGGCCGCAUUGGGACUGAGACACGGCCCAGACUCCUACGGGAGGCAGCAGUGGGGAAUAUUGCGCAAUGGGGGCAACCCUGACGCAGCAACGCCGCGUGCAGGAAGAAGGUCUUCGGAUUGUAAACUGUUGUCGCAAGGGAAGAAGACAGUGACGGUACCUUGUGAGAAAGUCACGGCUAACUACGUGCCAGCAGCCGCGGUAAUACGUAGGUGACAAGCGUUGUCCGGAUUUACUGGGUGUAAAGGGCGCGUAGGCGGACUGUCAAGUCAGUCGUGAAAUACCGGGGCUUAACCCCGGGGCUGCGAUUGAAACUGACAGCCUUGAGUAUCGGAGAGGAAAGCGGAAUUCCUAGUGUAGCGGUGAAAUGCGUAGAUAUUAGGAGGAACACCAGUGGCGAAGGCGGCUUUCUGGACGACAACUGACGCUGAGGCGCGAAAGUGUGGGGAGCAAACAGGAUUAGAUACCCUGGUAGUCCACACCGUAAACGAUGAUUACUAGGUGUUGGAGGAUUGACCCCUUCAGUGCCGCAGUUAACACAAUAAGUAAUCCACCUGGGGAGUACGACCGCAAGGUUGAAACUCAAAGGAAUUGACGGGGGCCCGCACAAGCAGUGGAGUAUGUGGUUUAAUUCGAAGCAACGCGAAGAACCUUACCUGGGCUUGACAUCCCUGGAAUCGAGUAGAGAUACUUGAGUGCCUUCGGGAAUCAGGUGACAGGUGGUGCAUGGUUGUCGUCAGCUCGUGUCGUGAGAUGUUGGGUUAAGUCC
rnacentral:rRNA from 2 species